rnacentral:rRNA from 1 species
UACGUAGGCAGCAAGCGUUGUUCGGAAUUACUGGGCGUAAAGAGUGUGUAGGCGGUGCUCUAAGUUCGGUGUGAAAUCUCCCGGCUUAACUGGGAGGGUGCGCCGGAGACUGGAGUGCUCGAGCGUGGGAGAGGAAAGCGGAAUUCCUGGUGUAGCGGUGAAAUGCGUAGAUAUCAGGAGGAACACCUGCGGUGUAGACGGCUUUCUGGACCAUUGCUGACGCUGAGACACGAAAGCGUGGGUAGCAAACAGG